rnacentral:ncRNA from 1 species
AUCAGGGGUGCUGCGGAUGCGGCUGAGACGGCUUUGCCGAACCCUUUGAACCUGACCCGGAUAAUGCCGGCGCAAGGGAGAAUACGA